UCGGGGGUCGUCUAACGGCAGGACCGAGGACUUUGGAUCCUCUAAUCCAGGUUCGAAUCCUGGCCCCCGAG
rnacentral:tRNA from 1 species